UACAGAGGGUGCAAGCGUUAAUCGGAAUUACUGGGCGUAAAGGGUGCGUAGGCGGUUCUAUAAGUUAGGUGUGAAAGCCCCGGGCUUAACCUGGGAAUUGCGCCUAAUACUGUCGAGCUAGAGUACUGUAGAGGAAGGUAGAAUUUCCAGUGUAGCGGUGAAAUGCGUAGAUAUUGGAAGGAAUACCAGUGGCGAAGGCGACUUCCUGGACUAAUACUGACGCUCAUGUGCGAAAGCGUGGGGAGCAAACAGG
rnacentral:rRNA from 1 species